rnacentral:rRNA from 1 species
AUUGAACGCUGGCGGCAGGCCUAACACAUGCAAGUCGAACGAGUGGCGGACGGGUGAGUAAUGUCUGGGAAACUGCCCGAUGGAGGGGGAUAACUACUGGAAACGGUAGCUAAUACCGCAUACCAUCGGAUGUGCCCAGAUGGGCUUAGCUAGUAGGUGGGGUAAAGGCUCACCUAGGCGACGAUCCCUAGCUGGUCUGAGAGGAUGACCAGCCACACUGGAACUGAGACACGGUCCAGACUCGUACGGGAGGCAGCAGUGGGGAAUAUUGCACAAUGGGCGCAAGCCUGAUGCAGCCAUGCCGCGUGUAUGAAGAAGGCCUUAGGGUUGUAAAGUACUGUCAGCGGGGAGGCGGGAAAAGAAGAAGAAGCACCGGCUAACUCCGUGCCAGCAGCCGCGGUAAUUG